CCUCCCACCCUGCCCACAACCUCACGAUCCGCCACCACCACCAAUUCCACUCCCACACACACACAAGAUCCUGGCGGAGAUGCUACUAUGACAACGACAUGAUUCACCGUGAAGCGAUAGCCAGUUCAGAAGCAGAAAAUUAAGGAAGAAACAUGUAAUUUCUAAAGGCGGGCACUAGAACAGAGUUUCAGCGCGACCUGAUAUCAGAUCCGACAUGAUGGCAUCCCUCUCACGAGUCCUUCACAUGCAACCGCCAACUCUUGCACUACAUUGUGGCAUGCUUUUAAUCAUCAUGUUGUCAGCAAUGAUCUUAUGCUUGCGUUGAGAAUGGCCAACAUUGUCCUUCCUAGCGGCAGUUGGUUGUCGUUUUUGGUUCUUGUGGAGCCAUUCAUCACACUCCAAGAGGGGAUGUUGCUGUGAGGGAUCACCUUCUCCAUGGGCGAUCUCCUCAUGCUGGGGGUACAACAAUGGUGGCCCUCGUUGAUCACCUACUAUGUCAUGUAAUUUUCUAUUGUCCCUCUUUCUUCUUUUAGUGUUUGCAUUCUAUAGGAUCAUGCUUUACCAUCAAACCCCAAAUUGGAUGGUCCUUCUUUAACCCUUUGUACACUCAUGUGAUGGUUUUCUUGGGAUACUUAUAGAUCUAGAUUUAUGGCACCAUUAAUUUGAGUUUAUCAAAGUGAAAACCAACAAGGUCUUCCUUAGUGAAGUCCUUUGCUCCCAUUGGUUCGCCAUGUGCUUGGGAAGAAUAAGUACUUCAUCAAGGUGAAGACACAUGAUUUCUGGAGCCAUAACGGCACCAAACCAUUG